rnacentral:rRNA from 1 species
AUAACAAUACAGGACUCUUUUGAGGCCCUGUAAUUGGAAUGAGUACACUUUAAAUCCUUUAACAAGUAUCUAUUGGAGGGCAAGUCUGGUGCAGAGCGACUGACCCGUGCAUGCUGCCGCUGAAACUCCACUAUCGCCUGCUGCUG